CAACUCGACUCCAUGAAGCUGGAUUCGCUAGUAAUCGCGCAUCAGCCAUGGCGCGGUGAAUACGUUCCCGGGCCUUGUACACACCGCCCGUCAAGCCAUGGGAGUCGGGAGUGCCUGAAGUUCGUGACCGUCACAGGAGCGACCUAAGGCAAGACCGAUGACUGGGGCUAAGUCGUAACAAGGUAUC
rnacentral:rRNA from 1 species